ensembl:lncRNA
CUAAAAAUUAUCCUAGGGAAAGGAGUAUUGAACUCAACUAGCUUUGGGGUAAAGAGACAACAGAUACAAAAGUCAUGAAUUGGCAUGACAUUUAGCCAUGUCCCAUUUUGCUAGGCAUAGAGUCAAUUUCAUUAUUUUAACUAAACAGAUCCUUAAUCAUGAUAGGUGGAAUGGCAGAGAUGUAUUCUCUACCUGUGUGUAGCUGUUUACAUUUGCCACCAUCCACAGCCCUUGCAGGUGGUAGUGGGAGGAGGCCAAUAAUUACCUCUGCUCAGUAACCUCUUGUUCUUGCUUGAAUAGAGUCAAGACCCUGCAUCUAAUCAAAACAAAGAGGCUUCAAUUGGGGGUUUCAACUAACAACAUUUUUCUUUUGCUAGGGUCUUGUGUAAUAAAAGUAAAGUUAUUCUUAAAUUAGAAAAUUCUACCAUGGAAGCUCUAUUGCAUAUUGACUUUAGUCUCUGCAGAUGUUUAUUUGCAUUUCCAAGAUUUGAAGAUGACUUGCAGCUUGUCUGUAAUCCCAGACAGGUUUCCUAGGCCAUGAAUAGGGAGGUAAGUCUCUGGGCUUCUCUCCCCACUUCCCCAGUUGCUAAGUUCACCCUGUGCUGGGAUGGACUCUGUGUCUUUCCAGUGCGAGCUUUGAGCCUCUGGAGGGAAAGACUUUUAAUUGAAUAUCCAGUGCUGUUCCAAACUGCUCUGACAUUCCCAUAAUUCCUUUUGCACAAAGAACUGAACUCUACUUCAUAAACGUUAUCCCACACAAAAGAGAAAGCUAUUACUUUGUGCAUUCCUAUCUACCCUGUGAAGAAAUGGAACAGCUUCCAAAUAAAGCCAGGCAGUGUGUCCUACAAGAGGGAGUAUUUGCUGGGACCACAAAUGACUUGAAUAGGUGAGUCAGGAAAUUAGCCACCCACUCACUGCUAAGCUUAGAGCUUAAAAAAACCCCUCAUUUAAUUAGCUUGCUGGCAGGGCUCAAUCUCACAUACAAUGUCCAAGACUCUCUGUGGCACUCUCCCAGCAGAGAAUUUCUUAGAACAGCUGUGGACAUGCUCACACGUCUCUGCUUGCACCUUGCUGGGUUUUAAGGAAAACCCACGCUGGAGGCUGGGCUGAAAAGCAAUGUCUAGUUAGACAGUAUGAAGAGAACAUUCCAGACCUCGUGUAGAUAGGAAGGGGAGAAGACACAAACCAAUUUCUUUCUUUUCUUUUUAGGGCCAUACCCACGGCACAUGGAGGUUCCCAGGGAUAGGGUCUAUUUGGAGCUACAGCUGCUGGUCUACACCACAGUCACAGCAAAGCCAGAUAGGAACUGCGUCUGCAACCACAGCUCACAGCAACGCUGGAUCCUUAACCCACUGAGUGAGGCCAGCGAUCAAACCUGCAUUCUCAGGAUACUAGUCAGAUUUGUUUCCACUGAGCUACAAUUCUAAUGCUCCGCCUGGGGCUUGGGGUUGCUUCCCCACACACCCCCUUCCAAUCUGACUUUUUAGCUGGAGAAAAAUCCAAUUUGUCUCCCAAAAUGGUAGUAAGG